rnacentral:rRNA from 1 species
UACGUAGGAGGCAAGCGUUGUCCGGAUUUACUGGGCGUAAAGCGCGCGCAGGCGGCAUGGCAAGUAAGGUGUGAAAUCUCCCUGCCUAACGGGGAGGAUGCAUUUUAGACUGCCAAGCUAGAGGACGGUAGAGGGGGGUAGAAUUGCUGGUGUAGCGGUGAAAUGCGUAGAGAUCGGCAGGAACACCCAGGGGGAAACCAGCCGACUGGGCAUCUGCUGACGCUGAGGUGCGAGAGCGUGGGGAGCGAACCGG